GAUGAACGCUGGCGGCGUGCCUAAUGCAUGCAAGUCGAGCGAACAGACGAGGAGCUUGCUCCUCUGACGUUAGCGGCGGACGGGUGAGUAACACGUGGAUAACCUACCUAUAAGACUGGGAUAACUUCGGGAAACCGGAGCUAAUACCGGAUAAUAUAUUGAACCGCAUGGUUCAAUAGUGAAAGACGGUUUUGCUGUCACUUAUAGAUGGAUCCGCGCCGCAUUAGCUAGUUGGUAAGGUAACGGCUUACCAAGGCAACGAUGCGUAGCCGACCUGAGAGGGUGAUCGGCCACACUGGAACUGAGACACGGUCCAGACUCCUACGGGGGGCAGCAGUAGGGAAUCUUCCGCAAUGGGCGAAAGCCUGACGGAGCAACGCCGCGUGAGUGAUGAAGGUCUUCGGAUCGUAAAACUCUGUUAUUAGGGAAGAACAAAUGUGUAAGUAACUAUGCACGUCUUGACGGUACCUAAUCAGAAAGCCACGGCUAACUACGUG
rnacentral:rRNA from 1 species